UACGGGGGGGGCAAGCGUUGCUCGGAAUUACUGGGCGUAAAGGGCGCGUAGGCGGUCAGCUAAGUCAGCUGUGAAAACCUCGGGCUUAACCCGAGGCCUGCAGUUGAAACUGUUUGGCUGGAGUGUGGGAGAGGAGAGUGGAAUUCCCGGUGUAGCGGUGAAAUGCGUAGAUAUCUGGAGGAACACCGGUGGCGAAGGCGGCAUCCUGGACCAACACUGACGCUGAGUGAGCGAAAGCCAGGGGAGCAAACGGG
rnacentral:rRNA from 1 species